AGAGUUUGAUCAUGGCUCAGAACGAACGCUGGCGGCGUGGAUAAGACAUGCAAGUCGGACGGGAUUUUCCGUUGUAGCAAUACGAUGGAAAGUCUAGUGGCGAACGGGUGCUUAACACGUGGGCAACCUGCCAGGAAGUGGGGGAUAGCUCGCCGAAAGGGAAUUAAUACCGCAUGUGAUUAGAGAGGACAUCCUUUCGAAAUUAAAGUCGGGGCAACCUGACGCUUCUUGUGGGGCCCGCGGCCUAUCAGCUAGUUGGUGAGGUAACGGCUCACCAAGGCUUUGACGGGUAGCUGGUCUGAGAGGACGACCAGCCACACUGGGACUGAGACACGGCCCAGACACCUACGGGUGGCAGCAGUCGAGAAUUUUUGACAAUGGGGGAAACCCUGAUCGAGCGACGCCGCGUGGAGGAUGAAGGUCUUCGGAUUGUAAACUCCUGUCAUUGGGGAACAAGGUGCAUACGUUAACUGCGUGUGCAUUGAUGGUACCCGAAGAGGAAGAGACGGCUAACUCUGUGCCAGCAGCCGCGGUAAUACAGAGGUCUCAAGCGUUGUUCGGAUUCAUUGGGCGUAAAGGGUGCGUAGGCGGCGCGGUAAGUCGGGUGUGAAAUCUCGGAGCUUAACUCCGAAACUGCAUUCGAUACUGCCGUGCUUGAGGACUGGAGAGGAGACUGGAAUUUACGGUGUAGCGGUGAAAUGCGUAGAUAUCGUAAGGAAGACCAGUGGCGAAGGCGGGUCUCUGGACAGUUCCUGACGCUGAGGCACGAAGGUCAGGGGAGCAAACGGGAUUAGAUACCCUUGUAGUCC
rnacentral:rRNA from 1 species